UGUGUUUUAUUCUUUUUUUUAUUAUUUUUUUUACAGAGUGAAGAUCUUUCUGUUACUGGAUCUCAGCACCAUCAGCUGGGAUUGCUUAAAGAGAUGCCAUGGCUCUGGGAACGGGGUGUGUGCGCCAAAAAAGCACCAAGGAGGAACUGGAGCCUUGGCAGGACCGGGAGGGUGCCCAGAGAAGCUCUGCAAGCAGAAUGAGUGCCUUCACCCCUCUGUCAUCACCAGCCCCUGAGAGCAAUCACCACCCACCAACAGUUCCUGGAGAUAAGGCCGAGCCAGCUGGGAGAAGAAAGCCUUUGAUAUUCCCUGCCUUGCUGACUGCGUUUCUCACAGCUCACGUCUGGAGUGGGCCAGGGGAGGUGGCUGGACACGAAAGAAUAACACUGAUGGGGGAUGCAGGGAAGGUGUUAAUCUUCUGCCAUGUGUGUAGGGCCUGGGCAGAGGAGGUGGAACUCAGCUGUGGAGUCCCCCUGAUCCUUCCACAGGUAUCAGCACAGGAUAAUCACAUUUCCAAGGCAAUAACAAGCACUCCCCAAGAGCAUCUGGCUAAGAAGGCUCAGAAGCAAUGA
rnacentral:lncRNA from 1 species